ACGAAGUAGCAAUACUUAGUGGCAGACGGGUGAGUAACAUGUAGGUAUCUGCCCUUUGGCCUGGAAUAACACGAGGAAACUUGUGCUAAUACUGGAUAAGUCUUUACGGAGAAAGCUUUAUGCACCAUUGGAUGAGCCUGCACUUGAUUAGUUUGUUGGUGGGGUAAUGGCCUACCAAGACAAUGAUCAAUAGCUGAUUUGAGAGGAUGAUCAGCCACAUUGGAACUGAGACACGGUCCAAACUCAUACGGGAGGCAGCAGUAGGGAAUCUUGCACAAUGGAGGAAACUCUGAUGCAGCGAUGCCGCGUGAGUGAAGAAGGCCUUUGGGUUGUAAAGCUCUUUCGUCGGGGAAGAAAAUGACUGUACCCGAAUAAGAAGGUCCGGCUAACUUCGUGCCAGCAGCCGCGGUAAUACGAAGGGACCUAGCGUAGUUCGGAAUUACUGGGCUUAAAGAGUUCGUAGGUGGUUAAAAAAGUUGGUGGUGAAAUCCCAGAGCUUAACUCUGGAACUGCCAUCAAAACUUUUUAGCUAGAGUAUGAUAGAGGAAAGCAGAAUUUCUAGUGUAGAGGUGAAAUUCGUAGAUAUUAGAAAGAAUACCGAUUGCGAAGGCAGCUUUCUGGAUCAUUACUGACACUGAGGAACGAAAGCAUGGGUAGCGAAGAGGAUUAGAUACCCUCGUAGUCCAUGCCGUAAACGAUGUGUGUUAGACGUUGGAAAUUUAUUUUCAGUGUCGCAGCGAAAGCAAUAAACACACCGCCUGGGGAGUACGACCGCAAGGUUAAAACUC
rnacentral:rRNA from 1 species